rnacentral:rRNA from 1 species
UAGUCAUAUGCUUGUCUCAAAGAUUAAGCCAUGCAUGUCUUAGUUUAAGUAUUAAACAGCGAAACUGCGAACGGCUCAUUAAAUCAGUUAUGACUUACCUGAAUUAUUCUUUUACUCGGAUAACUGUAGUAAUUCUAGAGCUAAUACGUGCUUUAUGACCCAUCGAGCAAUCGGUGGGCGCACUUGUUAGAUUCUAUAACCCAUCCCUUCGGGGAAAAAAUGAUUAAUAACAAAUGACCGCAGACCGCAUGGAUUUAUUCCGGCGGCGUUCCAGUCAGGUUUCUGCCCUAUCAACUAGAUUGUUGUGUAUUGGACUACAAUGGUGAUAACGGGUGACGGGGAAUUAGGGUUCGAUUCCGGAGAGGGAGCCUGAGAGAUGGCUACCACUUCCAAGGAAGGCAGCAGGCGCGCAAAUUACCCAAUGCAAAUACUGUGAGGUAGUGACAAAAAAUAACGGUCCUGGCUCUUUUUGAGUUAGGAAUUGGAAUGAGUACAAUGUAAAUAGCUUAACGAGGAACGAUUG